AACAAGGCGUACCUGCGGACCUGCGGAGGGAUCAUUAUCCAUCCAAAACCAGCUGCGGUCGCGGCCCCACGCUUACCCGUGGCGGUACGCGCCGCACGUCUGCACCCUUUUUUUACGAGUACCUUCGUUCUCCCUCGGCAGGGCAACCUGCCGUUGGAACCAUACAAAACCUUUUUUUGCAUCUAGCAUUACCUGUUCUGAUACAAACAAUCGUUACAACUUUCAACAAUGGAUCUCAGA
rnacentral:misc_RNA from 1 species